rnacentral:rRNA from 13 species
UUGCAGUUAAAAAGCUCGUAGUUGAAUUUCUGGCCCGAGCGCCGGUCCGUCGCAAGACGCGCACCAGGUCGUCUUGGGUCAUCCUUGCGGGGAAGGCGUGUGGCCUUGAUUGGUUCGUGCGUUUCCGGACCCGCAUCGAUUACUGUGAACAAAUUAGAGUGUUUAAAGCAGGCAUUUUGCUUGAAUACAUUAGCAUGGAAUAAUGAUAUAGGACUUUGGUGCUAUUUCGUUGGUUGCGUACCAAGGUAAUGAUUAAUAGGGAUAGUUGGGGGUAUUCAUAUUUGAUUGUCAGAGGUGAAAUUCUUAGAUUUAUUAAAGAUGAACAACUGCGAAAGCAUUUACCAAGG